rnacentral:lncRNA from 1 species
GUUAGUUGAAACUCAUGGUUCUCUAUUUUUAUUAUAAAAAAAAGUUGGCAGUUAAGUGAUAUUUAAAUAAUAGCUUGCACAUAUGACAUAUCUCGACUUCUUUCAAUCUCGGUCAACAAUAUCCUGAUUAUAAAAAAAAAAUCAUCUAAAGGUACUAUCGCACCUGAAUUAGCAUCAAAAGUUUCAAAGUUUUAUUGCUGAAUGCACAUUAUUUAUUGUUAACAACAAGAAGGAGCAUGAAAUUAUUCAUGAUCCCAAAGUUAGAAUUGGAGCAUCCCAAUUCCCAAUUCUUGAUGAUCAAUCAAUAUUCAAUGGUGCUUCGGAUCUGGGCCCGAAGGACUAAGACGAUUGGUCUUAUAUUUGACAAUCUCCUUUCCUUUGAGUUUGAGUCCUGAAACAACUAUGGCAAUUCCGUCAGCACUCAAUGUAAAAUCUGAUUUGGUGGUGCUUCUUUCAAAGGAUGAAGGGAGAGAACGUUGUUCAGAGAUUACAAUAAUUGACAACAAGACCAAGAUUGUGCACAACCAGAACUUUGACAUUGCCAUUGAGGAGCUUUUGGAGUUGCAAAAUAUAUAGUAACUUUGGAUCUUGGUGCAGGGCUCCGAGGCAAAACUAUGCAUAUUUAUAGGCCAAAAUUGUAAUCACAAUGACAAUAU